UUGAGUUUAUUUGGUGGAAGACUAGUGAUUUUGUUGUUUGUAACUGCAAUAACAGCAAAUCCGAGGUCUCCGCCAGAUAGCUCAU
rnacentral:pre_miRNA from 1 species